AUGUUAUUGCAGGAUGGCCGAGUGUAGUAUCGUGGACGAAAGGCCUAAGAAAUAUCGGGCGAACUAUGAACAAUGUCGCGAGAGCCGAGGCGUCGUCGGGCCCAUCAAUGUGUCAUCGGUCUUUUCAAGUGCAUAGUUUCGUGGAAAAGACCUACGUGACCCUGGCCACGAGCGCCUGCAGAACACGUGUGCGGUGGGCCUAGGAAAAAGACAACAGAAUGCGGCAACGGCCAGAGCGUUAGUCGAAAAGCAGAGUGCGAGUCGAGGAGCCGAGUGCGAGCUGAGCGGAGACAGAGGUUGCGAGUGGCGUUGCCGAGAGAGUGUGGAUUGCGCUGUUUUCUGUGCGUUUGGCGUGAAUAGUUCAGACAUGCAAGAAAUUCCGUGUUGGAGAGCGAUGUUGCGAGUUCGAGUGCCUGGACCAUCUGAAGACCGGAACUGGUAUAGUUUAUGUCGUUGAUGAUAAUAAUUCCUCCACGACUCAGCAACAAGAGCUACUCUGGGUGAUGAGCUUAAUGGUGCUGUUGCGGCUAUUUUAAUUUUUCAACAAGGAUCCAAAUGGCGCCGUUGACGAAAUUCUUUCAUUAUAAACGUCAACGAUCAACAUCAGCCAUCAGGGAACGAAGAAGGUACGCUGUAACGUGUCUGAGUAAUUAUACCUCGAGGAGUACAUACAGUUAUGUAAUGAAGAUUCGUAUGUGAGUGUUUGUUUUCUUAUUUCUUUUCCCUUUGUUUCAUUUGAAUGGAUUUUUGUACUCAAAGAGCGAGUUGACUGUAUGGUGGAUGUAUCUAAUGGUGUUGUAGUUGACUGUAUGUUGUUCAAUAUUGCUAUGAAACUCUUCUGAUUCAUUGUCACUUAUACGAAGGAUGGAAGUAUACGAAAUUGAUAAAAUUAUUAAUAAUAUUUACGAAGAGAAAGUAAACUGUUGGAUAUAUGACAAAAUAAUUCUAUUUUAAAUAAGAGACUGGUCAGAGUGGUUAUUUUGUUUACAAAAUCAAACGAAUUUAAUGAAUGUAAUGGUAAGGAAGUAACUAUAAGUGGCUGUUAAACUAUUUUUAUGCUUGAAAAGUAAUUCGCAAAGUAAUGUAAAGCAGUACUACUGAGUUGUACAUAACCUCUUUCAGAAUUUGUUCUUAACCUCUUGCUUCAUAACUUCCUUAAUUAUACUCUUCAAACUUAUUGACUACUUCGAUGUUGUUACGAACAGAAACUGAUAAAAUAUUAAUCUUAAAUAUAGAUUGAAAUGAAAGCUUGUCAGGUAAAUAUAUAUAUAUAUAUAUAUAUAUGUGUACUACUUACUCAAACUAUGGAUCACAUAACCUAUACAAAAAAAAAAAAAAAAAUUAUUGUACACUAUAAAGCAAGAGGUUAAAUCUUUAAUCUGUUAAGAAUUAAAUUUUUUAUUGUAACUGCGAAAAUUAUAAAAGUACCAAGCGAA